CAGUCGCCGCGGGAAUACGUAGGGUGCAAGCGUUAAUCGGAAUUACUGGGCGUAAAGCGUGCGCAGGCGGUUUGUUAAGACAGAUGUGAAAUCCCCGGGCUCAACCUGGGAACUGCAUUUGUGACUGGCAAGCUAGAGUCUGGCAGAGGGGGGUGGAAUUCCGCGUGUAGCAGUGAAAUGCGUAGAUAUGCGGAGGAACACCGAUGGCGAAGGCAGCCCCCUGGGCCAACACUGACGCUCAUGCACGAAAGCGUGGGGAGCAAACAGGAUUAGAGACCCGGGUAGUCCCUGUCUCUUAUAC
rnacentral:rRNA from 1 species